GCAGGGGCUGUCAUAGUGGUGUCUACAGUUACAGUGGCAGGGGCUGCAGUAGUGGUGGCAGUGGCUGCUGUUGUGGUGGCAGGGGUUGUCUUAGCAGUGUCUGCAGUUGUGGUGGUAGCGGCUGUUGUCGUAGUGGCAGCUGCAGUUGUGGUUGAAGCUGCUGCUCUUGUGGUACCAGCUGGAGUUGUGGUGGCAGUUGCUACUGUUGUAGUGGCUGCUGUAGUUGAAGUGGCGGCUACAGUUGUGGUGGUGGCGGCUGCUGUUGCUGUGGUUGCAGGGGCUGUUGUAUAUAUGGCUGCAGUUGUGGUGGCAGGGGCUGUCGUAGGGACGUCUGCAGUUACGGUGGCAGGGGCUGCAGUAGUGGUAGCAGUGGCUGCUGUCGAGGUGGCAGGGGUUGUCUUAUUGGUGUCUGAAGUUGUGGUGGUAGCGGCUGUUAUCAUAGUGGCAGCUGCAGUUGAUGUAGCAGCUGCACUUGUGGUUGCAAUGGCUGCUGUUCUUGUAGCGGCUAAAGAGUUGGUGGCAUGGGCUGUCUUAGUGGUGUCUCCAGUUGUGGUGGCAGGGGCUGUCGUAGUGGCGUCCUUAGUUAUGGUGGCAGGGGCUGCAGUAGUGGUGUCUGCUGCAGUUGUGGUGGUAGCGGCUGUUGUCAUAGGGGCAGCUGUCGUAGCAUAUGCACUUGUAUUUGCAGUGGCUGCUGUUGUGGUAGCGGCUAAAGUUGUGGUGGCAGGGGGUACUGUCGUAGUGGAAGCUAAAGUUGUGGUAGUAGUCGUAUUGGUGUCUGCAGUUGUGGUGGCAGGGUCUGUUGUAAUUUCAGCUGCAGUUGUGGUGGCAGGGACUGUCAUAGUGGCGUCUGCAUUUGUGGUGGCAGUGGCUGUCAUAGUGGCGUCUACAGUUACGGAGGCAGUGGCUGCAGUAGUGGUGUCAGUGACUGUCGUCAUAGUGGCAGCUGCAGUUGUGGUAGCAGCUGCACUUGUGGUUGCUGUGGCUGCUGUUGUGGUAGCGGAUAAAGUUGUGGUGGCAUGGGUUGUCUUAGUUGUGUCUCCAGUUGUGUUGGCAGAGGCUGUCGUAGUGGCGUCUACAGUUACGGUGGCAGGGGCUGCAGUAGUGGUGGCAGUGGCUGCUGUCGAGGUGGCAGGGGUUGUCUUAGCAGUGUCUACAGUUGUGGUGGUAGCGGCUGUUGUCGUAGUGGCAGCUGCAGUUGUGGUUGAAGCUGCUGCUCUUGUGGUACCAGCUGGAGUUGUGGUGGCAGUUGCUACUGUUGUAGUGGCUGCUGUAGUUGAAGUGGCGGCUACAGUUGUGGUGGUGGCGGCUGCUGUUGCUGUGGUUGCAGGGGCUGUUGUAUAUAUGGCUGCAGUUGUGGUGGCAGGGGCUGUCGUAGGGACGUCUGCAGUUACGGUGGCAGGGGCUGCAGUAGUGGUAGCAGUGGCUGCUGUCGAGGUGGCAGGGGUUGUCUUAUUGGUGUCUGAAGUUGUGGUGGUAGCGGCUGUUAUCAUAGUGGCAGCUGCAGUUGAUGUAGCAGCUGCACUUGUGGUUGCAAUGGCUGCUGUUCUUGUAGCGGCUAAAGAGUUGGUGGCAUGGGCUGUCUUAGUGGUGUCUCCAGUUGUGGUGGCAGGGGCUGUCGUAGUGGCGUCCUUAGUUAUGGUGGCAGGGGCUGCAGUAGUGGUGUCAGCUGCAGUUGUGGUGGUAGCGGCUGUUAUCAUAGGGGCAGCUGUCGUAGCAUAUGCACUUGUAUUUGCAGUGGCUGCUGUUGUGGUAGCGGCUAAAGUUGUGGUGGCAGGGGGUGUUGUCGAAGUGGCAGCUGUCGUAGUGGCGGCUGCAGUUGUGGUUGCAGCUCUUGUGGUACCAGCUGGAGUUGUGGUGGCAGUUGCUACUGUUGUAGUGGCUGCUGUAGUUGUAGUGGCGGCUACAGUUGUGCUGCCGACUGCUGUUGCUAUGGUGGCAGAGGCUAUUGUAGUGGAAGCUGCAGUUGUGGUAGUAGUUGUAGUGGUGUCUACAGUUGUGGUGGCAGGGGCUGUCGUCGUAGUGGCAGCUGCUGUUUUGUUAGCAGUCAUAGUGGCAGCUGCUGUUGUUUUUGCAGAUGCUGCUCUUGUGGUACCAGCUGAAGUUGUGGUGGCAGCGGCUGCUGUUGUGGUGGCAGCGGCUGUUGUUGUGGUGGCAGUCGUUGUGGUGGCUGCUGUUGUGGUGGCUGCUGUUGUGGUUGCAGAUGCUGCUCUUGUGGUACCAGCUGGAGUUGUGGAGGCAGCGGCUGCUGUAGUCGUAGUGGCUGCUGUAGUCGUAGUAGCAUCUACAGUUGUGCUGGCGGCUGCUGUUGCGGCAGAGACUGUCGUAGUGGAAGCUAAAGUUGUGGUAGUAGUCGUAUUGGUGUCUGCAGUUGUGGUGGCAGGGUCUGUUGUAAUUUCAGCUGCAGUUGUGGUGGCAGGGACUGUCAUAGUGGCGUCUGCAUUUGUGGUGGCAGUGGCUGUCGUAGUGGCGUCUACAGUUACGGAGGCAGCGGCUGCAGUAGUGGUGUCAGCGACUGUCGUCAUAGUGGCAGCUGCAGUUGUGGUAGCAGCUGCACUUGUGGUUGCUGUGGCUGCUGUUGUGGUAGCGGCUAAAGUUGUGGUGGCAUGGGAUGUCUUAGUAGUGUCUCCAGUUGUGUUGGCAGAGGCUGUCGUAGUGGCGUCUACAGUUACGGUGGCAGGGGCUGCAGUAGUGGUGGCAGGGGCUGCUGUAGUGGUAGCAGCUGCUGCUCUUGUGGUACCAGCUGGUGUUGUGAUGGCAGCUGGAGUUGUGGUGGCAGUUGCUACUGUUAUAGUGGCUGCUGUAGUUGUAGUGGCAGCUACAGUUGUGCUGGCGACUGCUGUUGCUAUGGUGGCAGAGGCUGUCGUAGUGGGGUCUGCAUUUGUUGUGGCAGUGAC
rnacentral:lncRNA from 1 species